AGAGUUUGAUCCUGGCUCAGGACGAACGCUGGCGGCACGCUUAACACAUGCAAGUCGAACGGAGACAUUUUGGUUUACUGAGAUGUCUUAGUGGCGGACGGGUGAGUAACACGUGAGCAACCUGCCUUCAAGAGGGGGAUAGCUUCUGGAAACGGAUGGUAAUACCCUAUAACAUAGAGACACCGCAUGGUGAUUCUAUCAAAGAUUUAUCGCUUGAAGAUGGGCUCGCGUCCGAUUAGGUAGUUGGUGAGGUAACGGCCCACCAAGCCGACGAUCGGUAGCCGGACUGAGAGGUCGAACGGCCACAUUGGAACUGAGAUACGGUCCAGACUCCUACGGGAGGCAGCAGUGGGGAAUAUUGGGCAAUGGGCGAAAGCCUGACCCAGCGACGCCGCGUGAGGGAAGAAGGUCUUCGGAUUGUAAACCUUUGUCAUCAGGGACGAACAAAUGACGGUACCUGAGAAGGAAGCCACGGCUAACUACGUGCCAGCAGCCGCGGUAAUACGUAGGUGGCGAGCGUUAUCCGGAUUUACUGGGUGUAAAGGGUGUGUAGGCGGAGAAGCAAGUCAGAUGUGAAAUAUUAAGGCUCAACCUUGAUACUGCAUUUGAAACUGUUUCCCUUGAGUGUGGGAGAGGUAAGCGGAAUUCCCGGUGUAACGGUGAAAUGUGUAGAUAUCGGGAGGAAUACCGGUGGCGAAGGCGGCUUACUGGACCAUAACUGACGCUGAGACACGAAAGCGUGGGGAGCAAACAGGAUUAGAUACCCUGGUAGUCCACGCCCUAAACGAUGAAUGCUAGGUGUGGGGGCAAAAGCCUCCGUGCCGCAGCUAACGCAAUAAGCAUUCCACCUGGGGAGUACGGCCGCAAGGUUGAAACUCAAAGGAAUUGACGGGAGCCCGCACAAGCAGUGGAGUAUGUGGAUUAAUUCGAGGCAACGCGAAGAACCUUACCAAGUCUUGACAUCCCUCUGACAGGAUUAGAGAUAAUCCCUUCUUCGGACAGAGGAGACAGGUGGUGCAUGGUUGUCGUCAGCUCGUGUCGUGAGAUGUUGGGUUAAGUCCCGCAACGAGCGCAACCCUUAUGCUUAGUAGCCAGCGGUCUGGCCGGGCACUCUAAGCAGACUGCCAGGAAUAACCUGGAGGAAGGUGGGGAUGACGUCAAAUCAUCAUGCCCCUUAUGACUUGGGCUACACACGUGCUACAAUGGCGCCGACAAAGGGAAGCAAACCCGCGAGGGGGAGCAAAUCCAGAAACGGCGUCCCAGUUCGGACUGUAGUCUGCAACCCGACUAUACGAAGCUGGAAUCGCUAGUAAUCGCGAAUCAGAAUGUCGCGGUGAAUACGUUCCCGGGUCUUGUACACACCGCCCGUCACACCAUGGGAGUCGAUAACGCCCGAAGCCGGUGACCUAACGCAAGAAGGAGCCGUCGAAGGCGGGAUUGGUAACUGGGGUGAAGUCGUAACAAGGUAACC
rnacentral:rRNA from 1 species